rnacentral:rRNA from 1 species
UACGUAGGUGGCAAGCGUUACUCGGAAUCACUAGGCGUAAAGCGCAGGUAGGCGGUUCGGUAAGUCUCUUGUGAAAGCUCCCGGCUCAACUGGGAGAGGUCAAGGGAAACUGCCGGGCUAGAGUGUGGCAGAGGAAGCUGGAAUUCCCGGUGUAGCGGUGAAAUGCGUAGAUAUCGGGAGGAAUACCUAUGGCGAAGGCGGCCUGCUGGGCAGUUACUGACACUGAGGCGCGACAGCGUGGGGAGCAAACAGG